UAUUUUUCGGGGUGCCCCCUUGGCCGGCGAUGCCGGUCAAAGGCUGAGAUUAUACCCGUUGAACCUGAUCAGGAUAAUACCUGCGUAGAGAACAAGAUUA
rnacentral:ncRNA from 1 species